GCUUAGCUCAGAGCUUAGAGCAUAGCAUUUGUAAUGCGAUGGUCAUCGGUUCGAUUCCGAUAGC
rnacentral:tRNA from 1 species